UUACCCAUUCUCGAACGACACCCUAUCAUCCACAAGGGAACCCCGUUGAGCGCUUGAAUAGAACACUGCUUCAGAUGCUACGGACACUGUCAGAGGAAAAGAAAUCUGAAUGGAAAGACCACUUACCACACAUAGUGCAUGCAUACAAUUGUUCGAGACAUGAAGCCACAGGGUAUUCACCAUUCUUUCUCCUCUUUGGAAGGGCCCCACAGUUGCCCAUUGAUUUGAUUUUUAACCUGGAUCCUGAGCCACAGACUGAAACCCGUCAGGAAUUUGCACAGAAGUGGGCUUCCCGGAUGCAGGAGGCAUACAAGAUCGCCUCUGAACAUAGUAAAAAGAGCUCUGCAAAAGGGAAAAAAUACUAUGAUCGUGGUGUCAGAGGAAGUGUGCUUCAGCCAGGUGAUCGUGUGCUUGUACGCAACCUAUCAGAGAGGGGCGGGCCCGGCAAACUCCGUCCUUACUGGGAGAACAAGGUUCACCGUGUUGUUGAGAGGAUGGGAGUUGGUCCUGUGUAUCGAAUUCAAGCCGAAACUGGUGAUCGCACUCUACGUGUCUUGCACCGUAAUCUUCUGUUGCCUGUGAAUGAUCUGCCCAUUGAACAUAAUGGAGAGGACAAUCGAACACCGAAACAACAAAGGCAGAGGCAACAUCACAAGAACAGCCGACAUCACAGGUCUGAUACCUUAGAGCACGACUCCGGUGAUUCAGGGGACGAGGAAGAAUAUGCUUGUAAUCCCAGACCAGUCCCAGUAUAUGAAAGGGGAAAAGCCACUCUCAAACAGUCCCAUCAUGAGCCAGGUAGUGAUCUACGAGUAGCGGCACCAGAGUUUCAUCCGGAACACCAUAGAGCUGAGCCAGAUAACCCUCAAACAUAUGAGCAACCACUCCGGUUUGUGACACCAGGAUCAGAGCAAGUACUGGCUGACCUGUUGCCAUCUCUGGAAACUCAGGAACAAGUAGACGACUACAUAGCUGGAAGAAGUAGUGAGGAUACUGACCUGGGAGUGGAGCCGGUUGCACAGCCAAUGAAUGGGGAAGACAUCACCCUGCGGAGGUCAGCACGGGCAGUAAAGCCAAAGGAGAUGUUCACAUAUAAUCAGAUGGGACAACCCACAUACCUACCUUGGAGACCAGGAGCGAAUGCAAUGCACACCUGUGUACUGUACCCUAUUCAUAC
ensembl:lncRNA